rnacentral:lncRNA from 1 species
AUUGUGAAGUACCUCUGGUGGCUAAAUGCCUACAGGCUCUGGAAACAAACCCUGGAGUAGGGAAACCCUUACUGUAAUCAUCUGCCCAAACUCCAACAGAAGGAGCCGGUGCUUGAGGACAACUCCGGAGUCCAUCUGGCAUCACAGGAUGGGAGUUCCUUCUACUGGAGAUACAGUGGGCUGCCACAAUAGGGAACAGCUGCCUAUGGACUUUACUGUGUCAGACACCACCACUUUACAGUGAUCCCUGUCCAAUGCAUGGAGAACCAUUGGAAGGAAUUCCUCUGCUACAGGCAAACAUUUGUCACUUUUCAUUUGCAAAUAUCAAGGCUCUGCCCCAAACACUGGCCAUGGGCCCACUGGCUCCAAACCAGUUCUCUGCAUCAAAGGGUUUUCUCCUGGCUCCUUCACAAGGAAGAACUCAGUUUACAUUUCCUGCAUCCACUGAUAAAACUUGGAUUCACCAGGUAACACCAGGGACCCCAGCACCUCUGGACACUUCUUCCUUUGUGGCAAUUUUUCAUUUUGAUACUGAUUGUGAAAUCUGA